CCCCUGUGACAUACCUAUACGUUGCCUCGGCGGAUCAGCCCGCGCCCCGUAAAACGGGACGGCCCGCCCGAGGACCCUAAACUCUGUUUUUAGUGGAACUUCUGAGUAAAACAAACAAAUAAAUCAAAACUUUCAACAACGGAUCUCUUGGUUCUGGCAUCGAUGAAGAACGCAGCAAAAUGCGAUAAGUAAUGUGAAUUGCAGAAUUCAGUGAAUCAUCGAAUCUUUGAACGCACAUUGCGCCCGCCAGUAUUCUGGCGGGCAUGCCUGUUCGAGCGUCAUUUCAACCCUCAAGCUCAGCUUGGUGUUGGGACUCGCGGUAACCCGCGUUCCCCAAAUCGAUUGGCGGUCACGUCGAGCUUCCAUAGCGUAGUAAUAAUACACCUCGUUACUGGUAAUCGUCGCGGCCACGCCGUAAAACCCCAACUUCUGAAUGUUGACCUCGGAUCAGGUAGGAAUACCCGCUGAACUUAAGCAUAU
rnacentral:rRNA from 1 species